rnacentral:lncRNA from 1 species
UUUCGUGACCCUUCUUAAUUAGUGAUAAUUUCCCCGGAAAGGGAUUAACAUUAACGUAUGAAUGCCGACUCACUGUCACAAGACUUCCUUUUGGGAAGUUGAAUCUUUUUUGACCUUUGCAAACAUAAAAGUAAAGCCUUUAUUAUUGCUUUCUUUGUGCCAAAAACUUUCCCCACACCCACAGACACAGAGAAAGAAGAAGGAGAUGAGGUUGGAGUCAUCAGCUGUCCUUUAGGGCGAGCUACAAUGAAAGCUUUUGGUGCAUGGCCACAACUUUCGAUGAAUAAUUGGGGUGUGAUUGUUCCACUUGACCACGACUUCUUAGGUUUUAGUUAAUUCAGUAAUUAAUUCAAGCUUUUGUAUAGGAGUACUUUGGAUUAUUGUUCCUAGCUAUAUAGCUAGCUAUUAGAUCGAUGUGCAUGGGAAGUUUGGGCUAUUGGUCCUAGCGGAUGGGAACUUGUGGUGGACCUCGUAUUCGUAAUAGCGCCAUACAAAUAUAGGUGCUGUAGUACUACUUACAGUUGUUCGAACUAAAUAAAUCCUCAUUGAGUCAUGUAUUGGUAAUAGGGUAAUAAUUGGAGACCACCUGUGUAUCAUGACAUCACUUGUCUCUUCUCACAUGUAUUGUGAUGUGAAAGUUAUAGAAUACUCCAACUUCUCUUGAAUCAUAAGAUCCUUUCUUCUCAUAUAUUUCUUUGUAAUUUUGUACACUCACAAGGGAGUGCUAGAAACUAAACUCCGAGUAUUCUCUACUUUUGUUUUUCCUACUUUAGGGUUUCAAUUUAUCUUAUUAGAAUGGUUCCGAGCAUAAACACAAAUAUUAAGUUUUGUGCAUCAAUUACGAAGUGUUUUGAAGAGGCAAGUUAAUACCUCUUAUCGGGACCAGUUUUGAAUUUCAGAGUAAAUAGUUCUGAACGCUUUUUGGGGCAUAGAUUAAUUAAUCAUAAUGCUAACCUGGUUAGAGGUAUUCCCUUUUACAUUCAUGGCCGUAGAUUUGUACAAGGAAAAAAAAAUCCUUAUUUGUUAACUAGUUUGUCGGAUUUCCAUUAUUUGGACCGUACAAGUCCAAAACUUGAGGGUCGAGCUCAAACUAAGCUUUAGGUUCAGAGAAAUGCGCAUCAAGUUAAGUCUGGGCUUAGCAAAUAACGUUUUGAACUAGUAGAGAGGAAUGCAAUAUGGCCAAUAAUAUUUAAGAAUAGUUCAAGUUUCUAGUACAAAACCAUCAUUCAUAAAAAGCCCUGCUCAAAAAAUGUAUUCUCAUAUAGCCUUGUUUGACAUGACAAAAAAUAUUGACACAUGGAAAAUGGAAAAUAUCGAUACAAAAUAUCAAAAACUCAAUUUUUCUUCAACAAAACACACAUUAAUUCUCUUAACAAAAUCCACGAUUUCCCCACACAUGCAUGAAAGGGAACUGAUCCAUGCUUCAUAUAAAUGUAGAAUGCAUUGACCUUAAUGCAUCCGGUGACUAGCUACAUAUAUCAUUGUUUCCCUAUUUUCGGCCGGACUGGGUGGCCUAGAAGGACUUUCGGUCCUUCUUUGGUUUAAAUGCACAAGCAUGCUAUCACAUGGCCGAGAUUGGCCUACUUAGAAAAGAUGUAAAAGUGAUUGUGUUUGCACCUUAGAUUUGACUUCUAAUCAAAUCAAGGCUUUGAACGAAGAACCAAUGGCGUAGCCAUGAAUUAUUCAAUGGGUGGACUAAGUAAAAAUUAUUA